GGAAUUGUGAUUCAGUUGGUAGAGUGCUUGUCUAGCAAGUUCAAGGCCUUGAGUUCAAAUCUCAGUACCUCCC
rnacentral:tRNA from 1 species